CGGAUUUGUUGAACCUCAGACCAUUCAACCGUCUGGUAACACACUUCAAAACAGACAACAAUAUUUGCAAACAUGGAUGGAUGAGUCAAAAAGAGACGUAUACCUUGUGCCAUACAUUGAUGGGUAGCAUGCACUGGCAGUUGAUGGUCAUCAUUCCCAAAGCAUGUAAAAUUAUAUGGUUUUGUUCGUUGCAUAGGAAGAUGAAAAAUGACUUGAGAACAAUGCUUCAAGGAGUUAUUGGUAAAUCACGU